AUUGAACGCUGGCGGCAUGCUUUACACAUGCAAGUCGAACGCGAAAGGGGGGCAACCCCUGAGUAGAGUGGCGAACGGGUGAGUAAUACAUCGGAACGUACCCAGUCGUGGGGGACAACCAGUCGAAAGACUGGCUAAUACCGCAUACGCAGGAGACUGGAAAGGGGGCGCCCGCAAGGGGCUCUCGCGAUUGGAGCGGCCGAUGUCCGAUUAGCUAGUUGGUGGGGUAAAGGCUCACCAAGGCGACGAUCGGUAGCUGGUCUGAGAGGAUGAUCAGCCACACCGGGACUGAGACACGGCCCAGACUCCUACGGGAGGCAGCAGUGGGGAAUUUUGGACAAUGGGCGCAAACCUGAUCCAGCCAUGCCGCGUGUAGGAUGACGGUCCUAUGGAUUGUAAACUGCUUUUAUACGGGAAGAAACCCUGGCUCGUGAGCCAGACUGACGGUACCGUAAGAAUAAGGAUCGGCUAACUCCGUGCCAGCCGCCGCCGUAACAC
rnacentral:rRNA from 1 species